rnacentral:lncRNA from 1 species
UGGGCGAAACACCGAAGAAUCAUCAACCCGGCUUUCCACCUUGAGAAGAUCAAGGUUUAAAGGCUUUAUCUUCCAUAGUCCCCAAUCAGAUUAGAUUGCUUUAUGUAUGUAUGUUCAUUUGGCUCUGAACCAAAUUGUGCCUUCUGCUUCUAUGUAUAGAAUAUGGUACCUGCGUUCCACCAGAGCUGCAGCGAGAUUGUUUGCAAAUGGGACAAGUUAGUGUCGGAUAAAGAGUCAUCAUGUGAGGUAGAUGUUUGGCCUGGGCUUGUGAGUAUGACUGCAGAUGUGAUCUCCCGUACUGCUUUUGGCAGCAGCUGCGUAGAAGGGCAGAGGAUAUUUGAGCUCCAAGCAGAACUAGCACAGCUCAUCAUUCAAACGGUUAGGAAAGCUUUCAUCCCUGGAUAUAGGUAAUGAAAAACUCAACUUAUCUGAUUUAAUAUAGGUCCUUCUGAGCUUGACUCUUGAUCUUAAAAUGUCGCAAUCUAUUCCUUAAAGAUAUGAACCGUGUUAACAUUAUCUUUCUGCCAAUCUUUUUCUGUAGUUAUCUCCCAACAAAAGGUAACAGAAGGAUGAAAGCAAAAGCAAGAGAAAUCCAAGUUAUACUGAGAGGGAUCGUUAACAAAAGGUUAAGGGCCAGAGAAGCUGGUGAAGCACCAAACGACGAUUUACUGGGAAUACUUCUUGAAUCGAAUUUGGGGCAAACGAAAGGAAACGGAAUGAGUACCGAGGAUCUGAUGGAGGAGUGCAAGUUGUUCUAUUUCGUCGGGCAAGAGACAACAUCAGUACUUCUGGUUUGGACAAUGGUUCUGUUAAGUCAACACCAAGAUUGGCAGGCUCGUGCACGAGAAGAAGUGAAGCAAGUGUUUGGCGAUAAAGAACCUGAUGCAGAAGGACUCAACCAGCUCAAAGUUGUAAGUAAAAGCAAAUCAUAAACCUCUUGGUGACUUUUGUUGUGUUUUGAUGAUUUUUGAUGAAUGAUUUGAUCCCACGCAGAUGACGAUGAUAUUAUAUGAGGUCCUUAGGCUAUAUCCUCCAAUACCUCAGCUGAGCAGAGCCAUUCACAAAGAGAUGGAGCUUGGAGAUCUGACACUACCAGGCGGCGUUCUGAUCAAUCUACCUAUCCUUCUAGUCCAACGCGACACGGAGCUGUGGGGAAACGAUGCAGGAGAGUUCAAGCCAGAUAGAUUCAAAGACGGUCUCUCAAAGGCAACAAAGAACCAAGCCUCCUUCUUUCCUUUUGCGUGGGGAUCGAGGAUCUGCAUUGGCCAGAAUUUUGCAUUGCUUGAGGCAAAGAUGGCAAUGGCAUUGAUACUCCAGAGAUUCUCCUUUGAGCUUUCUCCUUCCUAUGUUCACGCACCUUACACAGUCUUCACCAUUCACCCACAGUUCGGUGCUCCUCUUAUCAUGCACAAGCUCUAAUCGUUCGUAGCAACCCAUUUUGUUGUUAUCAAAUAUACUUUCCAUUCACAGAUGAAACAAUUCCAUAUCAGUCUACCUAUAAUGCUAGUCCAACGCGACACCAUGAUGUGGGAAUUCAAGCCUGAGAGAUUCAAAGACGGUCUUUCAAAGGCAACAAAGAGCCACGUCUCCUUCUUUCCAUUUGCAUGGGGACCGAAGAUAUGCAUCGGCCAGAAUUUUGCCAUGUUGGAGGCAAAGAUGGCAAUGGCGUUGAUUCUACAGAGAUUCUCCUUCGAGCUUUCUCCUUCCUAUGUUCAUGCGCCUCAAAUAGUCGUCACCAUUCACCCACAGUUCGGUGCACAUCUUAUCCUGCGCAAGCUGUAAUUCUAGAAUCCCAUGUGCUCUUGUCAGAUAAACAGAGGAAAAUAAACCAGAUCAUAGUAUAAAACUCAAAUCUUUUUAUUAAUUGAAUUCAGAACUUUGUGCUCACAUAUGUCUUGACAAACCAAAAUAUUUCCAAGAAAAAGAGUGAAACGCAUGGACCAAUAUAUGUCUUCCUAUUUUCGUCGCUUUUCACACGAAGUCCAAAUUUGCUUCUUGCGCCUUGGUGGCACGACUGUGAGGGUCCAAGUAAAGCAAAAAUUAAUUAGUCAUUACAAAAUAAUUGCCCAAAAUAUCAAAAUAUAAAGUAUUUAAGACAUCAGGGGUGAUGUCAUCACCACAUCCAUAUCUUCUCCGAAAUUCUAAACAUUUAUACAUCCUGAGAAUGGUCACAAAUUCUCUACCUCUCUCUCUCUCUCUCUCUGGUAGAGAAAAUGGAGAUAUCAGUUGCAUCGGUAACAGUUUCUGUAGCUGUAGUUGUUGUGUCAUGGUGGGUAUGGAGAACUUUACAGCGGGUUUGGCUUAAACCAAAGAUGCUUGAGAGUUACCUGAGAAGACAAGGUCUUGCCGGAACUCCUUACACGCCUCUUGUCGGUGAUUUGAAGAGAAAUUUUAGCAUGCUGGCUGAGGCAAGAUCCAAACCCAUCAACCUAACAGAUGAUAUCACACCACGUAUCGUGCCUUAUCCGUUGCAAAUGCUCAAGACUCAUGGUAUGCUUCCCGGUUGGCAUCUUGAUUCCUCUUUGUUUAGAACUAUUUUGUAGAGUAUCUAGAAAAAGUUUCAACUUUCGUAUCUCUAUGUGGUUGAAACAGGGAGGACUUUCUUUACAUGGUUUGGACCCAUACCAACAAUCACCAUAAUGGAUCCUGAGCAAAUCAAAGAAGUGUUCAACAAAGUUUAUGAUUUCCAGAAGGCACAUACGUUUCCUCUGGGCAGAUUAAUAGCGGCUGGACUCGUUAGUUAUGAUGGUGAUAAAUGGACAAAACACCGAAGAAUCAUCAACCCGGCUUUCCACCUUGAGAAGAUCAAAGUUUAUAAGCUUUCUUUUCCGUAGUCCCAGUUUAGCUUUAUGUAUGUAUGUCCAUUUGGUUCUGAACCAAUUUGUGUCCUCUGCUUUUAUGUACAGAAUAUGGUACCUGCGUUCCACCAGAGCUGCAGCGAGAUUGUUGGCGAAUGGGACAAGUUAGUGACGGAUAAACAGUCAUCCUGUGAGGUGGAUAUUUGGCCUUGGCUUGUGAGUAU